CCCUGUAUUCGAAAGUGAUUGUGGGCUGCCCGUGCCCCGGUCAUUGAUAGUACAGGGAGAGGAACUACUGAAAGCGCUUCCCCGUGUUUGGAGGGCCCGUCCUGUCCCUUACAAACUCUGGAGCUUUCGAACA
ensembl:snoRNA SNORA71 Small nucleolar RNA SNORA71